AAUUGUGUCAUAAUACGCUUCUGUCGGGUGUUUUGCCAUCAGCCAAGCUGAGCACUCUGAUGUAAGCAUUAGCCAGGUAGAAAACAUAUCUAAGCCAACGUAGACUCUGUAAUUUAAGUCCUGACUUUUCCUGGUGUUCAGUAGCCAUAUCUGUAAAUAGAUUCAUAGUUCUCGAGACCCCUUUCUCCCGUUUUCCCUUCCAGCCAUGGAGAUCAGAACACCAAUGGGCAAGGUCAGCAAACAGAUCAUUGCCAAACGUCUGAGAGAGCAGCCGUCAGCUUUGUAACUUACUCUGUGGCUCCUAAGAUGAUUAUAUUUAGAAAGGACCAUUUAUUUGGGCAAAAGUGAACUUUGUGGAUGGACGGGUAGGUGGACGGAUGCAUUGAUGAAUGAGUCUUCCUAAAUAUUUCACCAUCAAUAAAGUUCCUUCAUGGAAUUUGUUGUCUGAGAAUACUUUGUAAUGACGGUGUUUGUGCAGGCCUGGGUGUAGCUUGGUUGAUGGAGUGUUAGAUUCAUAUGUUCAUUUCUUCUUUCCUUAGCACCAAAAGAAAUGUCAAAGAUGGAUUUUUUUUUUGUUUUCUACAUAUUUACAAUGUUUAUUGCAGACCAAGCAAAGCUGCUUGAGUCUGUGUGUUUCACAUUUGAUCGUUCAAAGCCGUAACCUUUAGACACAUUACGCUAUCGGCUACACUUACUUUAUAUUUUUCUGAUUUAAAGUAAAUUUUUAAACAUUCCCCUGUCACAUCCAGUAUAAACUGAUGUUUGAUAAUGUUUCCAGGUCCUUUGAGGAAUGACAGGCAGAACUAUGCCCCCAUCUAGCCACUCCCCAAGAAUCCUUCCCAUUUGUUCUGGCCUUUGGACUGGAGGAUAGAGAGGUUCAGCGCCUGAGCUCUGUGAAACCAUCAGUAGUGUGGGGAUGACAGGACAGGACAGGCUUUCCCCAUAAGCUGUCAGAGUGCUAUGCCUAGAGAAGAGGUCUAAAUAAGAGCUCAGAUUAGCUGAUGAGAAAUAUGGGGUCGGGGGGAAAGGCACUUGAAAUAGAUUGUUUCUAGAUUUUCUAUUUUAAGUGAAACAUUAGCCCCUGUCGGGUUUUCAGAUAGGAUAACUUAACCCUCUGCUCUCAUGGCUGUACAACGGAAGGCCAAGUCGACUCCGGGCGGUACUUUUCUUUUCUCGGUUUCUGCUUUUAUCUGAGGUUGACUAGACAUUUCCCAAGCCAAUAGGGGCAGGGUAUCAAUCUGUGUGCACUUCAUGGCUCACGCAUAUGCCUGUUUGUGGCAUCCGAUGGGCCCAUGCAUUUGAGUUGAAGAAGAUGAAGCUACACAGCUCUCGUGCCAUAGCUAAUUUCUUUCGGCAGAUACCCCAUAGAGCUGGACCAGGCAACUGAGUCCCACCAUCUCCCUGUCACCCCACGAAGGAAGCUAUAAAAAUGCCCUGUACGUAACUUUGCCUCUAGUUAGCGUAAAUGAUAAGUCUGCCGUUUAUAUGGGGGGAAAAAUAGAUUCAAUUAUGUAAUGCUUUGCUGAGCCUAAUAUCUUUAAAUUACUCUUUAAUAAAAUCAAUUUGGUACAAAUGGGGUUAUUCUUAUUUGCUUCUCAUAGCUCUUCAUGAUUUUCAUUAAGCCUGCUUGGUAUUAAGAUCUGGGAGAGAACCAAGCUUGGCUUUCCUAAAUAGCAUAGAACAGCCUCGUGAAGUGCAGCUGGCCUCUGCACAGAGUCAUCAUUAUCACAGAACUCAGUCAAAUACUUGUCUGCCUGUCCCAUUUAUCUUUAGGCAAAGAAGGAGGUUUACACGUGUGUCUUUUUAUUUUAAUCCAUUCCAUGUGGUCGAAUGCUGGUCAGCAUGGUUGUGUUGCUAGUGAAGGGGCAUCAGUGCAUAGUGUUGAGAAGCUUGGCGUCUCUCACAUCAGCAGAAAUAGAAGGUUUCUUGAGGAGUCGCAGGAGCUCACUUCUUGCUGGGUUGGUACUUAACCUCUCCGGGUACCGGAUGGAGGUGUGCUGUUCUUUCAGAGGCUCGGGAAGGAAUGAAACUUUAAGUCACUCAGAUUCUAUGUCCCGUCAGCAAGUGGGUGACACGAAUGUCCUGUUAUGCUUGAAAACCCUCCUGUGAUUGGAGAGUUCACUAUUUCCAGAGGUAGCUUAUUCCAUGUUAAAUCAGAAAGACCAUCCCAUAUCAAGCAGACAUGUCUGCUUAGUUCUCAUAAGUUCCCUCUGGUUCUGAGCCCACCUUCCCAUGCUGUAGGGGACACAUGUGAUCCUUCCAACUGAAGACUGCUAUUUGAAAAGACACACACACAAACACACACACACACACACACACCUACCCAUGAGCUCUGAUGUCCCUCUGCCUCCCAUCUCACUCAGGUUCACCGUUCAGCCACCUCACAAUCUUGGUCAAUUUCUUCCUCAAAUGAAAAACACACUUCAGUUUGUCUGGAAACAUUUGACAUUUUGAUGCAAAAAGUGAGGUCCAGCUGCCUAAUAUGAUAUGGCUGACUUGACUAACAAAACAAAACAAAACAAAACAACUUUGUUUCAAACAUAUUAAGGUACAUAAAGAAGGCUCUAUAACUCGACUGGGGAUCAAUCCUAGUGGUAAUCCUUGUAAUUUGUGGAAGCGGGGGCUUAAGAGUUUAUGGGUACUUUAUUUGACUUAUGUUGAUUAUUUAAACUACCCAGGAAAAAAAUUAAAGUCACAAAAAUAAUUAUAGGAACAUUACAAGCUCUUAUAAGUUUUGGGUGUUUUUUUUUGUUUUGUUUUGUUUUGUUUUUUUGUUUUGUUUUUUCACAAAGCAGUAUCACAUCUGAGAUGAGGCUGCCCUCUAGUGGAUACUUGCUCAUGACAGGCAACAGCCAUGCCAGUGCCAAUGAAAUUCCCAUCAGGCUAGUGGAAAAGGUCAAAGGUUGUGAAUAUUUUCUCGACAGCUGUGGGGCAUUCUUCACCAAUUUCAAAAGUGUAAUUCAUUAUCUUGUGCAGUUAUUAGAAAUGACUUAUUAGAUAACGAAUCUCUAAUGUUUUCUUGGAAGGAAGGAAAGGUCAUUUUAAAGGAACAAGUUCUAUUAAAGCUUGUUCGUAGCACCCUGUUGUCUGUACUAAAUCUGAGUGGCAUUUGGUUCCUGAGCAGCUAAACCUGUAUUGAAAUCCUUGUUUUGUCUAUUCUCCAUCCUUGAUUUUUUUUUC
rnacentral:lncRNA from 1 species